GGAAGGUUGCCGGAGCGGUCUAACGGCCAGGUCUCGAAAACCUUGGGGUGCGCAAGCGCCACGGGGGUUCAAAUCCCCCACCUUCCG
rnacentral:tRNA from 1 species